AUGACCGUGACGCUCGAGGAUGUCUCCUUGAUCACCGGUGUUGCUAUCAACGGGAGGCCUCUCUGUAUGAGCACCAAUUCUGAAGGGUGGUGCCAGAAGAUGACUGCUCUUAUCGGUAUGGCUCCUACCGAGGAUGGAGAACAGGAGAAGAAGAAGAAGGAAAGGAAAGCAGUCGGAGCUGCUUUCACGUGGAUUCAAAAACACUUUGCCCAUUGCCCCGCGGAUGCCAUUGAUGAUGUGAUCCAGACACACGCUCGCGUCUAUAUGUGGUACAUUGUCUCGAGGAUUUUGUUUCCUGACUCCAUGGGCAAGAACGUUCCAUGGAUGUGGCUGAAGGCAUUGACCGUCUUCGAUAGCAGAUGGAGCUGGGGUUCGGCGACUCUUUCCUACUUGUACCAACAGGUAGUUGGUUUGUUUUGUUAUCAACUCAUUUCUUCAUUAACAAUGCAACCUUGCUGUCAAGUUAACAUUGUUUUCUUUCAUAUGUAG
rnacentral:rRNA from 1 species